rnacentral:misc_RNA from 1 species
AACGCACCUUGCACUCCUUGGUAUUCCGAGGAGUAUGCCUGUUUGAGUGUCAUGAAAUUAUCAACUUCAUAGUUUUGUUACUUUGAAGCUUGGACUUGGGGGUUGCUGGCUUUGUUGGCUCCUCUUAAAUGCAUUAGCUGCUUGUCUGUGGGUUGGCUCAGAGUGUGAUAAGUUAUCUGCACUUGGUGGCUGCCUGCUUCGGAUGUAGCUUCUAAUUGUCUUUGGACAACCUUUUAAGAUCUGACCUCAAAUCAGGUAGGACUACCCGCUGAACUUAA